rnacentral:rRNA from 1 species
AUUGAACGCUGGCGGAAUGCUUUACACAUGCAAGUCGAACGGCAGCACGGACUUCGGUCUGGUGGCGAGUGGCGAACGGGUGAGUAAUGUAUCGGAACGUGCCCAGUCGUGGGGGAUAACGUAGUGAAAAUUACGCUAAUACCGCAUACGAUCUAUGGAUGAAAGCGGGGGAUCGCAAGACCUCGCGCGAUUGGAGCGGCCGAUAUCAGAUUAGGUAGGUGGUGGGGUAAAGGCCCACCAAGCCAACGAUCUGUAGCUGGUCUGAGAGGACGACCAGCCACACUGGAACUGAGACACGGUCCAGACUCCUACGGGAUGCAGCAGUGGGGAAUUUUGGACAAUUGGCGAAAGCCUGAUCCAGCCAUUCCGCGUGCAGGAUGAAGGCCCUCGGGUUGUAAACUGCUUUUGUACAGAACGAAAAGGUUUCUACUAAUACUAGGAGCUCAUGACGGUACUGUAAGAAUAAGCACCGGCUAACUACGUGCCAGCCGCCGCGGUAA